rnacentral:rRNA from 1 species
UACGGAGGGGGCUAGCGUUGUUCGGAAUUAUUGGGCGUAAAGGGCGCGUAGGCGGCCGAAUAAGUCUGACGUGAAAUCCCCCGGCCCAACCGGGGAACUGCGUUUGAUACUGUUUGGCUCGAGUCCGGGAGAGGGUAGUGGAAUUCCCAGUGUAGCGGUGAAAUGCGUAGAUAUUGGGAGGAACACCGGUGGCGAAGGCGGCUACCUGGACCGGUACUGACGCUGAGGCGCGAAAGCUAGGGGUAGCAAACAGG